rnacentral:lncRNA from 1 species
AUUUCAACUGGCUGGUUGGAGAGCUACAGGGGUAAAGAUGGGAGAGCUGGGUUGGUUCUUCGAUGUCUACAUCUGGAGGCUUUGAGUGUUUUACACAGCCAUCUGCUUAGACCAUCAGUUUGCGUUUUCAUUGCUCUGAUCUUCCAAGGUAUUUCCAAGCCAUCUGCUUAGACCAUCUGCUUAGAACAUCUGUUUCAGGUAUUUCCAUCGUUCUUAUUAUUAAUUUUUUUAAUCAAUUGUCGAUUCAAUGACUUUGCUCUCUUGGAGAAAUCUUAGAAAUGGAAAUCAUUCCCAAUUUCUGUUUUGGUUGCCGAUAAAACAUUGGGAAGUAAAGACCAAGCGUGCUUUAAAAUUAAAAAAAUUCAUUUUUUAAUCUGCUUUUAAUCUGCUUUUGGCUGUAGUGAAGUAUAUGAAAUUCAAUUUGGUUUAACGAUAUACCACUUUAAAUUUCUCUAUCUGAUUAAUAUCAUAGUUUGAGAUAUGCAAUAGAUUUCUUAGGUUCUGACUUCUGAUCUCUUUGCACGAUUUGAUUGUUAGUUAUAGUGUUAGAUAUGGAAUUGAUUUUUAGGUUCUGACUUCUGAUAGCAUUACAGUAUUACUAUAGGCAUCUAUAGUAUGGAAUUGAUAUCUUCUUGGUUGAAUUACUUGCUAUUUACUCAUGAGAUUUGAAGUGUUGUAUACUAAUGACUGAUUUGAUUGGAAGCUACAGAUUUUGAAAUGAGGUAUUUCUUCCUUAAAAAUGUUUAUCAAUUAUGUUGUUUGAUAAUUUAAAAAAAAUGAGUUUUCUAACCCUAAACCCUCUAAUAUCUGAGUAUAUUGUUGAAUCUUUUGGGUGUUUUGUUGAGAUUCAUUUUAGGGUAGAGCUUUUUGUAAUUUAACGAUAACUAUAGAAAUAUUACGGAGUACCAUUGUUUUAUUCUAUUUUGAGCUUAUAAGAGCUGCAUAUUUGACUUUUGGAAUGGGAAUUGAUUUGAAGAACAAAUUUUUUUCAGUUUCAAACCUUAUAAUCCUGUUUCUAUGUUUCCUGUUUGUAUUAUCUGUUACUGCUCCUUUAUCAUGUUUUAUGGAAUAUAUACAUCUACCUUGAUUUCCUCUUCCACCUUGAUGCAAAAUCGAGGUGACAGGGUGUUAAAAGGUUCUUAAGGGAAAGGCCAUCCAUGGUUGAAGAAGGGCAAUGGAUAUACCAUACACCCACCUAAAUGAGGUCAGUUUCUUGACUUACUGGUUACCAAUUGGUUUGGUAGAUUGGCAGGUGUUGUUUGUGUUUAUCAUUGUGGUUGUGUGUUUGUUUGACUUAUGUCUGAAAUAUAUAUAUAUAUAUAUAUAUAUAUUCAGCUAUUACUUUGUGGUUUUCAAAUGCCUCGAAGCCAUUCUUUUCAGCUUUAAAAUUUUUAUUUUCAGUUUAUUCUUUUGCUUAAUUUUUUGUCUUUGGUUUUUUUAACUGUUUGCUGAAAAACUAUGUAAGAGAGUUGAAUUUUGCACAGAUUUAAAUAUCUGGGGAAUCUUGCAUAAAUUCAUUUACUCAUGUUUAUUCUUUUGUCUUCCUCAUUUAAUAUUGUUAUGCAAGAGAGUGAAUUUAACAAGAUAUCAUUUCUAUGUCCUCCUGUUUGCGUUGCUAUUUAUUAUACAGGAUAUCAAUUUAUUUUCUUUCCUCAGUUUCUUCUCUGUCCUCUUCUUUGUUUUUUAUUUGCUUAAUCGUUUGCUUUAUCACAUAACCAUUAGGAAAAUGUCUUCAUUCUCAUCUUGACAAUAAUAACUAAUGUUAACACAAGUAUUAUCUAAACAAUUAAUAUAUCCUAAAAUUAUCAGUUGCAAAAUAAUGCAUACAUUGUAUGAAAUCUUUCUUCUGAACAAAAGCAAUGUAGAGAUUUUCUUAAUUUGAUUUUGCUUUUUCCAUUUGCCUUCAUUUGGAAUGGAUGAAGAUGUACAAGAUUGCAUCAUUGUUCAUAGUGAAUUGUAUUAUUUUAUUAUGCAGAAUAUUGUUUCAAAUGCAUGUUCACCCUUAAAUCCAUAUUAUCUUUGUGGUUUUCAUUAAAUUACUACAUUUCUUUGGGCACUUCUCUGUCUCUGUGAUUCUUAUUUUUCAUUGUCAAGUAAACAUUUUAUGUAUGAUUAUCUUGGUAGUGACCUAUUGUUUCUUCGUUUAGCAUUUUGAACUAUUUGAAAAUUUUAACUAUGUUUAUAUGAAGAUGCUGAUACUUCCUUUCAAUCAUGUGACAUAUGAAUAAUAGUCUUUAAUUUUCUGAGAUUGAUUCAAUGGCAGCAAAGGAAGAUUGAUGUAACAAUUAGCAGGGAGUUGCUAUAGGAUUCUAUGCAAUGAAGUGUUUCCACUACUUCAACAACAAAAUAAAUGAGGUGGGAACGAAGAUUGCUGCAUAAUUGAAAGAACAGAGGAAAUCUGAUUAUUCAGGAGCUGAAUAUGGUCAUUAAGUCUUCAUGCUCAACAAAAUCACCCCACUCUGUAAACCGGAAUUUGUAUGAAGCUAGGUUUCAAAUAUGUUAAUGAGAUAUGAGUACAUGCUGUUUUGUGUAGUAUCCUGGUAUUUGUAGGUAUUUUUAGUGGCGAUUUUAUAUGGUUAAUUUUACUUAAAAAUACAGGAAUGGGUCGACUGUGUAGCAAAUGGAGAUGCUAGCAUGUUGAAAAUAAAAAUAGAUGCGACAGAAAAAUAGAUGCAAAACCAAAUGUUG